rnacentral:rRNA from 1 species
GAUGAACGCUGGCGGCGUGCCUAAUACAUGCAAGUCGAGCGAACAGAUAAGGAGCUUGCCCCUUUGACGUUAGCGGCGGACGGGUGAGUAACACGUGGGUAACCUACCUAUAAGACUGGGAUAACUUCGGGAAACCGGAGCUAAUACCGGAUAACAUUUUGAACCGCAUGGUUCUAAAGUGAAAGAUGGUUUUGCUAUCACUUAUAGAUGGACCCGCGCCGUAUUAGCUAGUUGGUAAGGUAACGGCUUACCAAGGCAACGAUACGUAGCCGACCUGAGAGGGUGAUCGGCCACACUGGAACUGAGACACGGUCCAGACUCCUACGGGAGGCAGCAGUAGGGAAUCUUCCGCAAUGGGCGAAAGCCUGACGGAGCAACGCCGCGUGAGUGAUGAAGGGUUUCGGCUCGUAAAACUCUGUUAUUAGGGAAGAACAAAUGUGUAAGUAACUGUGCACGUCUUGACGGUACCUAAUCAGAAAGCCACGGCUAACUACGUG